rfam:Xylona heveae TC161 unplaced genomic scaffold L228scaffold_10, whole genome shotgun sequence.
GCCCUCAUAACUCAGUGGUAGAGUGUUGGAUUGCAGUUAGCCGAAUACGGCUGAGCUACCAUCCACAAGUCCGUUGUUCGAAUCAGCGUGGGGGCU